rnacentral:rRNA from 1 species
AACGAACGCUGGCGGCAGGCUUAACACAUGCAAGUCGAACGAAGCACCUUAUUCUGAUUUCUUCGGAAUGAAAAAUUUGGUGACUGAGUGGCGGACGGGUGAGUAACGCGUGGGUAACCUGCCUCAUACAGGGGGAUAACAGUUAGAAAUGACUGCUAAUACCGCAUAAGACCACAGCACCGCAUGGUGCAGGGGUAAAAACUCCGGUGGUAUGAGAUGGACGCGCGUCUGAUUAGGGAGUUGGGGGGGUAACGGCCUACCAAGCCGACGAUCAGUAGCCCACCUGGGAGGGUGGCCGGCCACAUUGGGGCUGAGACACGGCCCAAACUCCUACGGGAGGCAGCAGUGGGGAAUAUUGCACAAUGGGGGAAACCCUGAUGCAGCGACGCCGCGUGAGUGAUGAAGUAUUUCGGUAUGUAAAGCUCUAUCAGCAGGGAAGAAAAUGACGGUACCUGACUAAGAAGCUCCGGCUAAAUACGUGCCAGCCGCCGCGGUAA